rnacentral:rRNA from 1 species
GACGAACGCUGGCGGCGUGCUUAACACAUGCAAGUCGAACGGAAAGGCCCUGCUUUUGUGGGGUGCUCGAGUGGCGAACGGGUGAGUAACACGUGAGUAACCUGCCCUUGACUUUGGGAUAACUUCAGGAAACUGGGGCUCAUACCGGAUAGGAGCUCCUGCUGCAUGGUGGGGGUUGGAAAGUUUCGGCGGUUGGGGAUGGUUUCGGGGGUUAUCAGCUUGUUGGGGGGGUAGUGGCUUACCAAGGCUUUGACGGGUAGCCGGCCUGAGAGGGGGACCGGGCUCAAGAGGACUGAGGUACGGACCAGAGUCGUAUGGGAUGCAGUAGGAUGGACUGUGGCGGAAUAGAGGCAAGCCGGAUGCAGCAGCACCGGGAUCGGGAUUACGGCCUUCUGGUGAAAAACAUCUGUCGCCUGUACGGAGACGUUGUUGACGGUAACUGAUAAAGAAGCACCGGCUAACUACGUG